ACUGCCACUGGAGAAGGAUUUUUUUCUGGAGAUGGAUUUUUUUCUGGAGAUUCCUUCUCUUGGAGUUUUUCUUGCAAGCCUAUGGCACUGAGAGAAAUCCAGAAGUAUUUCUUAUGCAGUUAUUGUCUCUGAUUCAUCAGCUCCUCCGGUUUAUCAGGAAGCACAAAGCUUGUUUUUUUCCAAGCCAAAACCUAGGCCUUCUCCUGUGAAGUUAAAGGACGUUGUUUCUACCAACCUGUGGAGAAAAUGAGGCUGGCAUUAAUUAAAAUAUUCAAAACACAUCAGUGAUGAAAAUUGCAGAAAUUAUCUGAUUCAUUUUCACCAAAUGUUCCCUGUGUGUCUCAUGACUACUGAUGAAGUUUGGAGCAAGCAAACUCUUAACUCAGGUUACCUCUGUACGUGUCAGUCUCUGCCAGCCAAGAGUGCCACGCAUUAUCACUGAAAGAGGCUGUGUAUGAGGAUAUAUGGGACUAGAAGUUGUAUGUAACGUAAUGACAGAACUACAUAUCUGAAAUCUGAAUUUAAUGAGACAUCCUUCUCUAGCUGACAAUCCAGAUUCCUUGUUUGAAUUUGUUACUAAGUUCAGUUAUAUUUCUGUGAUCAGAAUCUACCUCAUCCCAGAUGAGAAGCAUCACAAUCCCAAAUAUAUUUUUGGUGCAAGGACAGCAUUUAAAGGAAGCACAAACAGAACAACCGUGGAACAGCCCUGAUUUUUCUUCUAUUUUUCUGAAGCACAAUGCCAGUAAUUAUGAAGGAAGCUGCUUACUAGCUUCAGCAAGGAUGGCAGAAUCAGACUUAUUCCUCUAGCUUCACUUUGCAGGCAAGCUGCAAAAAUAAACUUGGACACUAGAAAAGUCAGUACCAUUAAAAUGCCUGUGAGGGUUUAAACAGUUUGUUGGUGUUGGAUGGAGCCAGUUUUGAAUAAUGUCUCAGUAAGUCAGGCCUGCUUCUUCUGUUCUUUGAAAAAGGGAAGGGGCAAGCCAUAGAAACUAAAACCAAUGGAACAUAUAGGUAAUAUGAGUGACCUGUGUAAUGUAUGAGAAGGCAGUAAGUUUGCUCAGGCUUCUUUCAUUCUGUCAUUUCCACCUUUGACCUUGUAGCAUACCUUUUGCUGUUAGUAUGUGUAGCAUACAAAUGCAAACUGAAGCAGUGCAUCAAAGCAUUUACUAGCUCUGGGAAGUGCUUCAUCUCAUGCUGUAUCAACAGUUUGCUACUCAGUCUUUUCAAGAUCUGUCACAUGUCUUUGUACUGCUGUCUCUUUAGGAGGGCUAAGUGUGGGGAAGGGAAAGCAGUCACUGUGCCUCUAUUACCUCUCUGCACAGAUCUGGUUGCAGUGAAGACCUUAGCAAAUGUCCUUUAAAGAACUCUGCUGAUGUGGCUGAAGACAUAGUCAUGGCUGUCCUUGUGCCUUGCCCUUCUUUUGUGACACACCUGAUCCCCCACAAGCAGUUAGCAGUGAACAGUUUAGCCUUUGGAAGUGACUUUGAAAGUUUGGGCUGUGCCUUGGCACAGUUAAGACACAGGCAUAUGUUGUUCCUGCCUCUCCUGUAGGAUCCGUAACCCCAAGAAAAAAGAAGGGGCAGCCAGGAGACUAAUAAUACCUGAAAAUGCCCCUGCAAGAUUUGCUGGAGUCUGACUGGUAAGAAGUCCCUUGACUAUCUUGGUAUACAGUUGAAAGACCACGGACUCCUGUAGCAUAAGUCAGUACCCAGUGCUGUGGAAAUCCAUGAAUCUAUGCCAGGUUUACAUCAACUGACUCACUCCAAAAUUGUUCAUAGUUCAUGCCCCGGUAAAUAUUUACACAGCAGAAGGCAAGGUUCCCUAUACUCUGCACUGACCAGAUGCAUGGCAGGAUGGGUGCAUAUUUCCCUCUAUGGAGCUGCAGGUCCAUCUCCGUGUGCCCUCGCAUUACCUCCAAGCAGAGCACCCACAACCUUCCCAGUGUAAUUUGUAGUCCCUCAGUGGGCUGAAUGCAACAUUAGGGGAAUUCAGCUCUUGCCUAAUUAAGAUGACGCAAUCAACUGGUCCACAAACAUUUAAGGAUCUUCUUAAUAACUCUAUUGUUAUCAGCUUGAGUGCCAGACACUGUAGCAUGAAGCGAUCGUUAGUGCUGAUACUUGGAGUCAGGGAAGAUUUACUGUGUUUUCUUCCCUUGUGAGUACUUGUUCUGUUAACCUGCUCCCUCUGCCAUUAGUGUGCCAGCUCCCCUUUGCUGCUAACAUCCAGUGUAAAGUAAUUGGCUCUAAAUUACUUUAAAAGUAUGGAUGGCCAUGCUUCCAAAAAUACACUCUAAACAGGUAAUAUGUUUGCUUUCAUUUCAUAAUUCAUACAUGUCUUUUAGAUUCUGAAAAACAUAUAUAAUAAUGCUUAUAAAAUUAAAUAACUUCUGUUACCCAAGCCUAUCAAUGGUUGCCUUCAUUUAGCUGUGGAGUAUUAUUAGUGAUAUUUUAGCAGGUCCUACAAAGUCUCAUUGUGCUUCACAUCUUUCAGAGUUAUGGAAAAGAAUACUGUUGAUGUCCUAUGCAUCAACCCAGAUGGCUGGUCCUUCCUCCCUUCACUUCCUGUAGUGUAGUAAGAGCAACAGUCUGGAGCAAGUUGCUCUUGUUUGUGUAA